rnacentral:rRNA from 1 species
UGGGGAAUUUUGGACAAUGGGGGCAACCCUGAUCCAGCAAUGCCGCGUGUGUGAAGAAGGCCUUCGGGUUGUAAAGCACUUUUGUCCGGGAAGAAAUCGCACCUGAUAAUACCGGGUGUGGAUGACGGUACCGGAAGAAUAAGGACCGGCUAACUACGUGCCAGCAGCCGCGGUAAUACGUAGGGUCCAAGCGUUAAUCGGAAUUACUGGGCGUAAAGCGUGCGCAGGCGGUUGUGCAAGACCGAUGUGAAAUCCCCGGGCUUAACCUGGGAAUUGCAUUGGUGACUGCACGGCUAGAGUGUGUCAGAGGGGGGUAAAAUUCCACGUGUAGCAGUGAAAUGCGUAGAGAUGUGGAGGAAUACCGAUGGCGAAGGCAGCCCCCUGGGAUAACACUGACGCUCAUGCACGAAAGCGUGGGGAGCAAACAGG